GACGAACGCUGACGGCAUGCUUAACACAUGCAAGUCGUACGGUGAAAGAAGAGCUUGCUCUUCUGGAUCAGUGGCGAACGGAUGAGUAACACGUGAGUAACCUGCCCCAGCCUCUGGAAUAAGCGCUGAAAACGGCGUCUAAUACCGGAUACGACACAGAGCUGCAUGGCUACUGUCUGGAAAGUUUUUCGGUCUGGGAUGGACUCGCGGCCUAUCAUCUUGUUGGUGAGGUAACGCGUCACCACGGCAACGACUGGUAGCCCGCCUGAGAGGGAGACCGGCCACACGGGGACUGAGAGACGGCCCCGACUCCUACGGGAGGCAGCAGUGGGGAAUAUUGCGCAAUGGGCGAACGCCUGAGGCAGCGACGCCGCGUGAGGGAUGACGGCCUUCGGGGUGUAAACCUCUUUCAGCGGGGAAGAAGAGAAAGUGACGGUACCUGCAGAAGAAGCACCGGCUAACUACGUG
rnacentral:rRNA from 1 species